GCCGAUAAUAUUCUAGAUAUACACCCAAUGAAUUUCGAGUUGCAGCCAACAAAGCUGUAACUCGAAAGACGACAGGUAUUGUUGAAGAUAUGGAAUUAAG
rnacentral:sRNA from 1 species